rnacentral:rRNA from 1 species
GAUGAACGCUGGCGGCGUGCUUAACACAUGCAAGUCGAGCGAAACACUUUAUUUAGAUUUCUUCGGAAUGAAGAAUUUUGUGAUUGAGCGGCGGACGGGUGAGUAACGCGUGGAUAACCUACCUCAUACAGGGGGAUAACAGUUAGAAAUGACUGCUAAUACCGCAUAAGACCGCAGUACCGCAUGGUACAGUGGUAAAAACUCCGGUGGUAUGAGAUGGAUCCGCGUCUGAUUAGCUAGUUGGUGAGGUAAUGGCCCACCAAGGCGACGAUCAGUAGCCGACCUGAGAGGGUGACCGGCCACAUUGGGACUGAGACACGGCCCAAACUCCUAACGGGAGGCAGCAGUGGGGAAUAUUGCACAAUGGGCGAAAGCCUGAUGCAGCGACGCCGCGUGAGUGAUGACGUAUUUCGGGUCGUAAACUCCUGUCAGAGGUGAAGAAUACCCGCAAGGGUUUGACGGUAACCUCAGAGGAAGCCCCGGUAACUACGUGCCAG